rnacentral:rRNA from 1 species
AAUGAACGCUGGCGGCAGGCCUAACACAUGCAAGUCGAGCGAGCGGCGGACGGGUGAGUCAUGUAUGGGGCUCUGCCCGAUAGAGGGGGAUAACUCCUGGAACCGGUGGCUAAUACCGCAUACCUUCCUAUGAUCCAUUAUGGGAUUAGCUGUUAGGUAAGGUAACGUCUGACCGAUGCGACGAUCCCUAGCUGGUCUGUGAGGCUUAUCAGCUACACUGUUACCGAGCCACGGUCCAGACUCCUACGGGGUGCAGCAGUGGGGAAUAUUGCCCAAUGGGCGCAAGCCUGAUGCAGCCAUGCCGCGUGUAUGAAGAAGGCCUUCGGGUUGUAAAGUACUGUCAGUCGGGAGGCGUUACCGACAGAAGAAGCCCCGGCUAACUCCGUGCCAGCAGCCGCGGUAAUUC